rnacentral:rRNA from 1 species
UACAAUCAUAUCACGUUGAAACAUCGGUUUUCGUACGACCACUGAAGUUAAGCAACAACGAGCUUGGUCAGUACCUACAUAGGUGGCCGCUUGGGAAUAUCAGUUGCUGUAAG